rnacentral:rRNA from 1 species
UACGUAGGGGGGCUAGCGUUGUCCGGAAUCAUUGGGCGUAAAGAGCGCGUAGGCGGCUAGAUAAGUCCGGUGUGAAAGUCACAGGCUCAACCUGUGAGUGCCGCUGGAAACUGUCUGGCUAGAGUCCGGAAGGGGCGAGUGGAAUUCCUGGUGUAGCGGUGAAAUGCGCAGAUAUCAGGAGGAACACCAACGGCGAAGGCAGACUCUGGGACGGUUACUGACGCUGAGCACGAGAACGUGGGGAGCAAACAGGAUUAGAACCGACCGUGUCA